rnacentral:rRNA from 1 species
UACGUAGGGGGCAAGCGUUGUCCGGAUUUAUUGGGCGUAAAGAGCUCGUAGGCGGUUUGUCGCGUCGUCCGUGAAAACUCACAGCUUAACUGUGAGCUUGCGGUCGAUACGGGCAGGCUAGAGUUCGGUAGGGGAGACUGGAAUUCCUGGUGUAGCGGUGAAAUGCGCAGAUAUCAGGAGGAACACCGAUGGCGAAGGCAGAUCUCUGGGCCGUAACUGACGCUGAGGCGCGAAGGCGUGGGGAGCGAACGGG